rnacentral:rRNA from 1 species
CAAAUGCAGUAGCCGAUCAAAUGGCUCCUCCUUUGAUCCCCUAGUGGUAGGGUUUAUGAUCUUUGAAAUAAUACUUUUUCUACUCGUUAUAAUAAGAAUUUAUUUUUUCCUUUUUCUUCUUCUCUACUCGUUCUCCGCUCGGCAGAACAACAAUGCCCUUUCUAAGGCCAGGACAAAGGACCGCGUGGCGCCGCUGGCCGGCUGCUCGUAGGUGGCGGAGGUUCGGCGGAGAGGAGUGACGUCGUCGCAUCGCUGAAGAAGGAGGUCGACGUCUCGGAGAGGCGUAGUCCUCAAGGAGCGGUACCUCCAUGAGGCGAGGUAGAAGAGGACAAAGAGGAGCGGGGCGAGGCAUUCAAGAAGGACCUUAGCAGACUAACGCGACAUCGACCGACCAAUCAAGACUAGGCCAAGUACGAUAGCACUUGGAAAGUAGACAAGACAUUCUUCACAGCCUCGUCUUAACUCCCCCCCUCAGGCUAGCUUCUUCGUCUUAAUCUCAAGAUUAACCUCCUUUUAACAAUCUCGUGUACCAAACCAACAGCGUCACGGUUGAAGGAACCCAUGUAUAAAAAAAAAUAAACCACUCUAGUAGACCGACUCCCCGAAACCAACCUAGGGUGACUCAGGGAAACCUGGGCAUCAGAGUUAGAACAUUCACACUACUAGUAAAAAAUCCGAGCUUUACACCUACCACCCUUAGUAGGUUUACCUUUCUGGCUGUCCGACCGAUAAGGUUCGUAGACGAACCAUUUGUAAAAGUUGAUGGUAACACGUUCGCUCAAUUCUAACAAGAGAAUACCGUACUAGGUAUAUUUGAAAUAAAUUAAACAGUUAGUAUCCCUUGGUCAAAGCAAGCGACUUAAACUGUGGCAAAUCUUACCGUUUCAGCUGAUUAAUAUACACAAAGUACAAAGACGACCACCCCUGUGACACUAUCGUACCUGACACCAGCUCGCCUCGAUCGCUGUUCUUGUUCCGGUACCAACUCGUUGACGUCUCUAUACCCCAUUAGUUCAGCUGGUUUCAACGCCUCCAGUACCUCUGGUAGCUAUCCCCCGACAAACACGGAGGCCCACCAAGAGGGAUAAAACUAUCGGGUUACCGUUAACCGAUGUUGCGUUGGUAUAGACGCGGAGUGUACGUACGACGAACGGACCUCGAGGACCUCCUAGUAGACGUCGGACCAUACGCCCGAGACCUACAACCUAGUCCGUGACCCAUGGAUUGUCGAACGAAACGUGAAUACCAACCUGGCCCCCCUGCUCGUCAACCACAACUUGUGUAUGGUCUCAACCAACGAAGAAGAUGGCUUUUGUAGUUCUUUUCACGUCGUCGGGGUGUCGACUUACUACCUAGGGAGUCAUAAGUAUAACGACUACCAUCCCUUCCGACCGGGCUCGAACGUGGUAUACUGACGUAGGUACAGCCUCGACGUCGUGGCGUCUAAGGUCUCCGCAAUUAGCUCGUCGACUUCGGACCACCGUCUUACCACUAGGGCCAACCCUGGUAGAAGGUCCUCGACUUCCACCAACUGUUCUUAGAUCUGCUGCCACAGUCGUAUUCUCUGCUCUGCAGACACGCGAUACACGGAGAGUGGUCGUUCCUACGGGUCAACGUGAGUUUAACUAGCGGCGUAGGACGGUUGGUUUACGAUAGAAGUUACACACUUGGAUUUUGGAGUAAUAGUUCCGCAAGACUAACCUGUAUUUUAGAUGGGUCGUGAGCGACAUUUUGCGACCCCAAGUACCCGUUACAUCCUAUGACCAUGAAGUAGUUUCAUAACUUCGCGCACAAACACAAACUGAUAGAAAGACAUGGACGAUCGUAGACACUCGCACUUCGUACGAAAGAGCAACCUUCACGAGAGCGUUACAAUACGAGAACAGUGACCGUUGAACCCAACCGUAUACAAUUGCACGGGCAUUUAAGCUCGAUGGGUUGUAUAG